GAAUUGGUCAGGCAGGAGCUGAAUGUCAAGUAGUCAAAGAUGGAGGCUGGAGCGGGGAGGCCAUGAGACUAAUGGACGUCCAGUCACCUGCUGCAGGAAGCAUAAUCCAGCUUCAUAACCUUAAGGAUAAGACCCUAUCAAUAUUGCCUCUGCUUUUGUGAUCAGGGUAGUAGUGCAAUAUUGCUUAUAGGGUCUUUUCUUUGGAGGGUAUUCUUCAUGGAGAGAAGAAAAGCAGCAGCAGAACAGCCAUGCUGGUCACCUUAGGACAAAAGUUGUGCAAUUACAAACAGUGCUAGACAGGCAAAUCAAUUUGUGCAAAUGUGUUAUUGUGAACAUCCGUGUUCAUGUGACAAAGAACUGUGCACUGAUGCUCUUCCGAAUAUCCAUGCUGCCCUGACAAGUAACUGUGUGCAUAGAUGCUCUUGUGAUGACUCAAGUUGUAAAGGGGUGUAUUUUUGAUGUUAUGAUGCAGGAUGCAAAACAGCCUUGUAUUAAAAAAGCACAAACAGUUGUACUUGCUUGAAACUGGA